rnacentral:lncRNA from 1 species
UCUCUCUCUCUCAUGUUUCCUACUCUCCACCUAGGGUUCCCUAGCCUUAGGGAUAGGAUUGACUUUUAUGGCAUCGAAAGGACUUCAGAUUCAGGUGGAGCACCUGACAGAGGUGGCUUCACAGGUGGAGAGAGAUUUGACACGAGUUUAGAAUGGAGGAGUGCAAGAGGAGGAGCAAUAUCCCAGCACCAGCAUCAGGAUUGCACAAAGCUAGGUGGAGUG